rnacentral:misc_RNA from 1 species
GUGAAUCAUCGAAUUUUUGAACGCAAAUUGCACUCGCCUCGGAGAGUGUGCCUGUUUGAGGGUCAGCGUAUUUAAAAUCGACAUCGUUGCUGUUUCGCGGUGGCGCUCUUCGGCAAUUGGGUCCUCUUAAAUCCUUUUGAUUUAUGCGUCUUAAAAUUUUUUUUUGGUUCCAUGAACGUUUCUAAGAUCUAUUUCGUUUCACGUUUAAGGUAUCGAUUUUUUAUUGACGUGACCAUCAUAUCAGAUAGCGUUCAUAAUCGUAC